UAUGCGUAGCCGACCUGAGAGGGUGAUCGGCCACACUGGGACUGAGACACGGCCCAGACUCCUACGGGAGGCAGCAGUAGGGAAUCUUCCGCAAUGGACGAAAGUCUGACGGAGCAACGCCGCGUGAGUGAUGAAGGUUUUCGGAUCGUAAAGCUCUGUUGUUAGGGAAGAACAAGUGCCGUUCAAAUAGGGCGGCACCUUGACGGUACCUAACCAGAAAGCCACGGCUAACUACGUGCCAGCAGCCGCGGUAAUACGUAGGUGGCAAGCGUUGUCCGGAAUUAUUGGGCGUAAAGGGCUCGCAGGCGGUUUCUUAAGUCUGAUGUGAAAGCCCCCGGCUCAACCGGGGAGGGUCAUUGGAAACUGGGGAACUUGAGUGCAGAAGAGGAGAGUGGAAUUCCACGUGUAGCGGUGAAAUGCGUAGAGAUGUGGAGGAACACCAGUGGCGAAGGCGACUCUCUGGUCUGUAACUGACGCUGAGGAGCGAAAGCGUGGGGAGCGAACAGGAUUAGAUACCCUGGUAGUCCACGCCGUAAACGAUGAGUGCUAAGUGUUAGGGGGUUUCCGCCCCUUAGUGCUGCAGCUAACGCAUUAAGCACUCCGCCUGGGGAGUACGGUCGCAAGACUGAAACUCAAAGGAAUUGACGGGGGCCCGCACAAGCGGUGGAGCAUGUGGUUUAAUUCGAAGCAACGCGAAGAACCUUACCAGGUCUUGACAUCCUCUGACAAUCCUAGAGAUAGGACGUCCCCUUCGGGGGCAGAGUGACAGGUGGUGCAUGGUUGUCGUCAGCUCGUGUCGUGAGAUGUUGGGUUAAGUCCCGCAACGAGCGCAACCCUUGAUCUUAGUUGCCAGCAUUCAGUUGGGCACUCUAAAGUGACUGCCGGUGACAAACCGGGAGGAAGGUGGGGGAUGACGUCAAAUCAUCAUGCCCCUUAUGACCUGGCUACACACGUGCUACAAUGGACAGAACAAAGGCAGCGAAACCGCGAGGUUAAGCCAAUCCCACAAAUCUGUCUCAGUUCGGAUCGCAGUCUGCACUCGACUGCGUGAGCUGAUCGCUAGUAUCGCGAUCA
rnacentral:rRNA from 1 species